rnacentral:rRNA from 1 species
UACGGAGGGUGCAAGCGUUGUUCGGAAUUACUGGGCGUAAAGGGCGCGUAGGCGGCACUGUUAGUCAGGCGUGAAAGUCCUGGGCUCAACCUGGGAACUGCGCUUGAUACGGCAGAGCUAGAGGAUGGAAGAGGGUCGCGGAAUUCCCAGUGUAGAGGUGAAAUGCGUAGAUAUCGAGAGGAACACCUGCGGCGAAGGCGGGUUGCUGGGCUGAUACUGACGCUGAGGCGCGAAAGCCAGGGAGCGAACGGG